rnacentral:rRNA from 1 species
CCUACGGGUGGCAGCAGUGGGGGAUCUUGCACAAUGGGGGAAACCCUGAUGCAGCGACGCCGCGUGGGCGCAGACGUAUUUCGGUAUGUAAAGCCCUAUCAGUAGGGAAGAAGAAAUGACGGUACCUGAGUAAGAAGCACCGGCUAAAUACGUGCCAGCAGCCGCGGUAAUACGUAUGGUGCCAGCGUUAUCCGGAUUUCCUGGGUGUAAAGGGAGCGCAGGCGGCACGGCAAGCCUGAUGUGAAAUCCCGCGGCUCAACCGCGGAACUGCAUUUGAAACUGUUUUUCUUGAGUACCGGAGAGGUCAUCGGAAUUCCUUGUGUAGCGGGGAAAUGCGUAGAUAUAAGGAAGAACACCAGUGGCGAAGGCGGAUGACUGGACGGCAACUGACGGUGAGGCGCGAAAGCGUGGGGAGCAAACAGGAUUAGAUACCCGUGUAGUU